CCAACAUGUGGCUGUACUGGAGUCUCUCUGAAUAUGGCAUCUGAAGUGAGAUCCAAAGUGGAGCUUACAGAGACCUCCAGGAGCACUGAAUGGCCAAGACAGGCUACCUGCUAGGCCCAUGGUGUCCACUGCUUUUGUGCAGCAACUGGGGCACGUUUUUAGCCUCUGAAUUAAGAGUUCUGCAUAGGUAGCCAUGGUGAAGUCUGGAAACACGUUCUCAGUGCCUCAACCAGCAGCUACAAGUCAGAGUCAAGCCCAUUAUGACCCCUUCUUCCUGCCUGAGCUUUGGCCCCAGAUAUUCUGAGAGGGGUUGGAUCCUCCAGGGCAUCGACCUCACAGCUCUGUCUUCUGUCCUGAGCUCUUCUCCUGGCAUGUAAAUUCAGGACUCAGAUAAGCCCUGCCCUUCAUAGCCACCUUGGAUGCUGCGUGACUACCUGUGAGUCAGGAGGACUGGAAAAGACAUUAGGGAGGGUACCUGUGUCCUACUUUCAAAAUGUUUUUCAGUAAUUUUAAAUCUUAAAGUGAUGUUAUGUUAAAGCAUAAUCAUAAAAUGGGAGUCAUUUGUAAGUUAAAAAAUAUUAAAACAUUAAUUACCAAACCUAAGUUUAAGUUUAUAUAGUUUGGCAUCUUAUUUUUGUAUGGUAUAGAGAAGCUAAAUAUAUUUACGUCUGUUAAUAAAAUAUAGGAAGAAACAUCUUUCUAAAAUUUAUAGAAUAAUUUAAUAAUUUUUAUCUGCAAAUACUGAUAUAAAACAGUUCAAAAUUACUUCCUAGGGAUUUCACUAAAAACUAGGGUUAAAGAGUUCAUGUAGUUAAUAUAUGUAAUUAAAACAACUAGAUGUAAGAAAAACAAUUCUGUAUAGUAUAUAAAAGCAAGAUAUGCUUUUGAUGAUGGAAGUUAUAAAGGCAUAAAAUGUAUGUUUGUUAAAAAAAAAUUUGUCUAGGCGAAGUUACUAGAGUUGCCUAGUUUGAAGUUUGUCCAGUUUGAAGUUAGUUAAAGGUUACUUAAGUUACUUAAAGGUUGUUUCAAAUUGAAGGAAUAAAAGGAAUGUAGAUAAAAUUAAAAUAUAAAAAGUUGAAAAAAUUUUUAAUUGUACGAGAUUAUAAAAGGGUUAUGGGAAUCUGGUGUGGUCAAAAGCUGACUGACAUUGAAUGAGUUUGUUUAUAAGGUUUUAUUAAAAUUAGCUUUAUUGAUAAUACACUAAUGCAAAAGUAAAAUUUGGUUUUCUCUUUUGAACAAAAAUUUCUUAUAGUGUUAAUAGUGAUAGCAAGAUAUUUUUGUUUACCUUUUGAGUAAACUGCAAAAAAUAAAAAAAGAGAGAGAGAGACAGAUUCUGCCUCACGCUGUCUUUCUCAGGUCUUUAGAUUGUUUGGAAAACUGCGUCUCCUCUAUCAGAGAGUAAUGUUUUUGCUUUUUAAAAUCUUUUCGUUAUCACUUUACCUAAAUAAAUGACUACUAUUUUAUGAUGACCUGUGACCCUAUUUUGAUCAAGUGUUUUAAACCUUUUAUAUUUGUUUGACAGGCUUCCCAAAAUCAAAUUUCCACUUCAAAAUUAAGUCUCUUUUGACCUUGAAUUUUAGAAUACUACAGAGAGCCCCUGAAGCCUCCAUAAGAGAGUUAACGGGAUUGAUAUGUUAAAUCAUAUGGAAAGCAUUGCCAAAUAAUAAAUGAUGUUUAACCUUCU
rnacentral:lncRNA from 1 species